rnacentral:lncRNA from 12 species
UGCAAGUACAGCUCCAGUAUCCAGGACAUCCAGACUGUAUCCUCUGAUUUCCACAUGUCGUGCUAGCUCAAGAUUUUCACAUGGAGAACUACACAUGUUCUGACCACAGAUACAGUGAGUUGAGUGGAAUAAUCUACUGCAGCUGCAGGAAUAGCUGGGACUUUGUACGUGCUGCUACCUUACACAUUUGCAAGCCCUCAGAAGCUUUUGAAAGUCCCAAUCUAUCACCUAUUUCUCUAGCUUGUGGAUACUUUUCACAAUGUAACAAGAGACCGCCCUGUGAAGAUUCAACUUCAGUGAGG